GUCCCUGUAGCGCAAUGGAUAGCGCGCGUGUUGGACUUCUAAUCCAAAGGUCGUGGGUUCGAAACCCAUAUGGGAUG